AAAACGGGGGGGGCCCUUGAAAAUCUUUCUGGCGGGGGGAUUCAGUCAGGAAGAGCGGAGGUGCGUGCCGGUCGAUCCGAACGGACCCCUCGAAAGGCCGGGCCGGUCGCACGGUCUCCGUUUUACCUGACGCACUUCCUCCCGCACUACGGACGCCGCAGCCGGUUGGGUAGCUGCGCGAGUCGCCCAUAAGGGUAGGCGAUGGCAGGUGGCCGGUGGCGUCGCUUCGGCUUCGCCGCCGGUUGUUAGCCGGUUCUUGCCCGUGGCGCGACACCCGACCGAGGUUGAACGGUUCCCUCGACGGGAACUGGCCUUCCCCUCCCUUCGAGUAGCGGGCGUUACGGCAGGUGCGGCCAGGUGUUGCCUCGUCACUCCCCGUAGUGGCCGGCACUCCGAGCUCACUGCUGGUCGAAGCUGUCCCGCGGAGGGUUCUUUUUUUUACUGGGGCUGGCGGCGAGUAGGUCGGUCACCCACCCGACCCGUCUUGAAACACGGACCAAGGAGUCUAACAUGUGCGCGAGUCACGGGGUCUUGCUUAGGCCCAGAGGCGCAAUGAAAGUGAAGGCCGUCCUCGACGUCGGCUGUGUUGGGACUCUCCGCUCCCUGGCGGGCGGGGAAGCACCAACGACCCGUCCUAUCCGAUUCAUCGGUCGGGCGGAGUCUGAGCGUACACGUUGGGACCCGAAAGAUGGUGAACUAUGCCUGGGCAGGACGAAGCCAGAGGAAACUCUGGUGGAGGUCCGUAGCGGUUCYGACGUGCAAAUUCAUUCUUAGAACUGGGUUUAGG
rnacentral:rRNA from 1 species